ACUACUCGUGUGUUGCGUUAGUACUUUUUGGAUUGCGAACGUAGCAAAUGCACUACGAACGAGUAUAUUGUUCGUUUACAAUCUCGAAGUCUCCAGUUGGAGACUUUUUGUGUUGUUCGAAUUGCUUUUGGUUUCUUCGCACUACGUUCUGUGAAUAGGGAUGGUUAAGAAGUGCAGAAUUGUGUGCAGAAAAUACUUUUUGUUUAUGCAAAAAAGUACCACAUUAAUAUCGUGGAGUGGAUUAGAAAAACGUCCACUCACAGAAGAGAUGCGAAUGUUCAUGUUCAUGCAUUGCGAGCUCUCUUAACCAGCUAGAAGUUAAAACACCUGAUCAACUUUUUUGAAGAUCUAAAUAUCACUGUUCCAGUUCUUGCCACAAUGACUGCUAAUGACAUUUUUAACCUCACACAACAAAUGAAAAUUGGAGAAAAAAUUCUCUUCAAAUAUUAUUUGGAAAAAUGGCGAUACGAGAACGGACUGCCGACAAUCGGUGAAAACUAUUUUAGCGAAUGUGAAUUGAAAAAUUCUGAAGAAUUGGCUUUACAAACUUUAAAUAAAAUGAAUAUUAAUUGAAAGAAUUAAAAAAAAAAAUCUAUAA